AUGUACCCACGUACACUCCGGUUCCUCCGCGCCGUCCGCACCCACCUGACGGCUGCUCCCUACGUUUUGUUAGCC
rnacentral:sRNA from 1 species